rnacentral:rRNA from 1 species
CCAAUAGCGUAUAUUAAAGUUGUUGCAGUUAAAAAGCUCGUAGUUGAACUUCGGGAUCAAUGGAUUGGUCAUGCCGAUGGUAUGAACUGGUCAUAUUGGUUCUCACCUUCUAAGGAACCAUAAUGUCAUUUAUUUGAUGUUGUGGGGAAUUAGGACUGUUACCUUGAAAAAAUUAGAGUGUUUAAAGCAGGCUAACGCUUGAAUACAUUAGCAUGGAAUA